rnacentral:rRNA from 1 species
CCUACGGGAGGCAGCAGUGGGGAAUAUUGCACAAUGGGGGAAACCCUGAUGCAGCAACGCCGCGUGAGUGAAGGAGUAUUUCGGUAUGUAAAGCUCUAUCAGUAGGGAAGAAGAAAGACGGUACCUGACUAAGAAGCACCGGCUAACUACGUGCCAGCAGCCGCGGUAAUACGUAGGGGGCAAGCGUUAUCCGGAUUUACUGGGUGUAAAGGGAGCGUAGACGGCUGUGCAAGUCUGAAGUGAAAGCCCGUGGCUCACCCCCCGGACUGCUUUGGAAACUGAAUGGCUGGAGUGCAGGAGAGGUA